UGAGCAACCUGCCCUCAGCUUUGGGAUAACCCUCGGAAACGGGGGCUAAUACCGGAUAUUCACUGCUUCGCGCAUGUGGGGUGGUGGAAAGUUUUUCGGCUGGGGAUGGGCUCGCGGCCUAUCAGCUUGUUGGGUGGGGUGAUGGCCUACCAAGGCGACGACGGGUAGCCGGCCUGAGAGGGCGACCGGCCACACUGGGACUGAGACACCGGCCCAGACCUCCGUACGGGAGGCA
rnacentral:rRNA from 1 species